UACGUAGGGUGCAAGCGUUGUCCGGAAUUAUUGGGCGUAAAGAGCUCGUAGGCGGUUUGUUGCGUCGGCUGUGAAAUCCCGAGGCUCAACCUCGGGUCUGCAGUCGAUACGAGCAAACUAGAGUGUUGCAGGGGAGACUGGAAUUCCUGGUGUAGCGGUGAAAUGCGCAGAUAUCGAGAGGAACACCAGUGGCGAAAGCGAGUCUCUGGACGGCCUCUGACAGCUGAAGACACGAAAGCUAGGGGAGCCAAACAGG
rnacentral:rRNA from 1 species